rnacentral:rRNA from 1 species
GAUGAACGCUGGCGGCGCGCCUAAUACAUGCAAGUCGAGCGAACGGACGAGAAGCUUGCUUCUCUGAUGUUAGCGGCGGACGGGUGAGUAACACGUGGAUAACCUACCUAUAAGACUGGGAUAACUUCGGGAAACCGGAGCUAAUACCGGAUAAUAUUUUGAACCGCAUGGUUCAAAAGUGAAAGACGGUCUUGCUGUCACUUAUAGAUGGAUCCGCGCUGCAUUAGCUAGUUGGUAAGGUAACGGCUUACCAAGGCAACGAUGCAUAGCCGACCUGAGAGGGUGAUCGGCCACACUGGACCUGAGACACGUGCCAGACACCUACGGGAGGCAGCAGUAGGGAAUCUUCCGCAUUGGGCGAAAGCCUGACGAGGCAACGCGGCGUGAGUGAUGAAGGUCUUCGGAUCGUAAAACGCUGUUAUUGGGGAAGAACAUAUGUGUAGGUAACAGUGAAGAUCUGGACGGUACCUAUUCAGAAAGCCACGGCAAACUACGU